GCUGAGAUCAAGAGACGAAUGCUCAACUGACUGAGCCACCCAGGUCAAACAACUUUUGAGAGCGUGGGCUCUGGAGCCAGCAAGAUCUGGGUUUUGAACCUCAGCAAGGCUGCUUACUAGGUGCAGAACCUGAUUUCCUGUCACUCACUGGAGACAGUUGCUGUCAUAUGGGAAUCACGUGAAAUAUUCUCAAGGAUUAUACUUGACUUCAGCCUUCAAUGCGUGGGUGGGAGUUAGGGUGGAUAUGGUAAUUACUUCUUUCUAAGUGGUCACUUUGAGGAGAAAAUUCUAUUUCAAUGGCUGUGCUAAAGUUUUAAAAACACUGUAUCAUAAAGUAUCAUGUAUAGCAAAACUCACCUUAAUUGAUAUACCUGUUAUAUUGCUAAUGUUACCUUAAAAGUAUCACCUUAGGGGCGCCUGUGUGGCUCAGUUGGUUAUGUGUCUAACCCUUGGU